rnacentral:lncRNA from 1 species
AAACCCUAUCGGCCAUUGGGGGGGCGUGGCCAGUGCAGAGUGGGCGUGGCCUCUGUCUCCCAUUGACUGCAGCAGGAGGGCGUGGUCGAGCCAAGCCACGCCCACACAGACAGAAAAAGCCGUGCUUCCAUUGGUUCCCAUCACAGGGGAGGGGGGCGGGGCUUUGCGGUGUGGGCGUGGCUUCAGCUCCUCAUAGCUCAUAUGGGGGGCGUGGCCAUGACAGAGUGGGCAUGGCUUCGGCUUGGUGGGCGUGGUUGGGAAAGGCUGGGCGUGGCCUGGAAAUUGUGGGCGUGGCUUGGGCGAUGUGGGCGUGGCUUUCAUAGGGGUGAACAGGGCCAUGUCCGUGUGGGCGUGGCUUUAACACGAGUGGGCGUGGCCUGGGCUAUUGUGGGCGUGGCUUGGGAAUCGUGGGCGUGGCUUGUGACCGCGUGGGCGUGGCCUGGACGGGGUGGGCGUGGCUUAAACCCUCGGCAGGAGGGAGCGCUGACAACGCAGCAGUUUUUUGGGUGCCCCCCGGCGUCGGAACCACAGCAGGGCCGCCAGCAGCCCCCCGGCCCCACCCAGCAACGCGAGGGGCGUGGCUACGGCUCCAGGCCCCGCCCCCUCCCCGCCCACUUCGAUCACGAUCACUUCCGUUUCCCCUCCCCCUCCCCCGGUUUCCGGUGGGGAUGAAGAAGGGGCGGGGCCUGGGCGGGGUGGUGGGCGGGGCUCCGGGCAGCCCAACCAAUCGCGGAGCAGGGAUUUGGGGUAACCCGGGGUGACGCGAAGCUGGCGGUUGUCGAACUGCCAAUAGCGGGAGCCCUUCACAAAGUACGUGUAGGCUGAGGGUCAUUAGGGGUCAUUAGGGGUCAUUGGGGUCACGAGGGGUCAUUUGG